GCUUUAACCAAGGCUGUUCAGCUGCAAGGACUGGCUGUGACCACUGACCAACAACUUCCACCCUCCAUGGAGGAUAAACUGUAUAGGGGCAAGGUGGUGAUGUCUGACAUGGUCUGUAGCUGUCCACUGGGUGUGCAGGCUCUGGGGUUUCCUGGGUGGUACAGGCCAAGGUCAGCCACCACCUGUGUUCUGCCUGGGGCCACCCUGUAUGAAC